UUGGGUUUCCGUUGAGCUUACUAGCAUCAGCUUUAUGGAGACUGAACUUAGGCGUUUAUUCCUCUGGUCCUUUCCAUGAUUCUGUAACCUCCUGAAAGGAAAAUGGCGACACAGCAGCAAACUGAGGUUCUCGCCAAAAGGUUCUGGAAAAACUGCCAUGGCUAGACUGAACUCAGUGAGAAGCUGCAUAAUAAAUGGAACCUUUAGGAAAAGAGACUUCAGAGUGCUAAGGACAGGGCCAGCGAAGGCAAGCCUGCAGAGACCCACCUCUUCUGGGGACUCCACCACUUCUCCAAGGCCCUACCCCCAAAGCCACAAGGAGUCCUCAGCCCUGAAAUCCACUCUUUGCUGAGAGAGAUGCUCAUUUUUCACAUCACUGCGCUACACUCUUCCUCUAUGUGGUGCUGAUUAACUCCAGCAAAAAGCACUG